AACGCAAAAAUAAAGAGGAAAAGUAGCAACGCAUUGGUAUUUUCGUGAAUUUUCCGUUUUCGUUUUUGUUUAGUUUGUACAUAUCGCUUCAUUCUUUUUGGAUUGUUGCUGUAAAU
rnacentral:ribozyme from 1 species